rnacentral:pre_miRNA from 1 species
UUAGUUCAUAUUUGUAUGGAAUGGGAUCGUUUGCGUACGUUUGCCGCUAGGGGCGCUGUUCCAACUGCAUACAAAAUUGACUUA